rnacentral:rRNA from 1 species
AGAGGGUGCAAGCGUUAAUCGGAUUUACUGGGCGUAAAGCGUGCGUAGGUGGUCUUUUAAGUCGGAUGUGAAAUCCCUGAGCUUAACUUAGGAAUUGCAUUCGAUACUGGGAGACUAGAGUAUGGGAGAGGAUGGUAGAAUUCCAGGUGUAGCGGUGAAAUGCGUAGAGAUCUGGAGGAAUACCGAUGGCGAAGGCAGCCAUCUGGCCUAAUACUGACACUGAGGUACGAAAGCAUGGGGAGCAAAC